rnacentral:rRNA from 1 species
GAACGCUGGCGGCAGGCUUAACACAUGCAAGUCGAACGGAAACGAAGAGGAGCUUGCUCCUUUGGCGUCGAGUGGCGGACGGGUGAGUAAUGCUUGGGAAUUUGCCUUGUUGUGGGGGACAACAGUUGGAAACGACUGCUAAUACCGCAUAAUCUCUACGGAGCAAAGGUGGCCUCUAUUUAUAUGCUAUCGCGACAAGAUGAGCCCAAGUGGGAUUAGCUAGUUGGUAAGGUAACGGCUUACCAAGGCGACGAUCCCUAGCUGGUUUGAGAGGAUGACCAGCCACACUGGAACUGAGACACGGUCCAGACUCCUACGGGAGGCAGCAGUGGGGAAUAUUGCACAAUGGGGGGAACCCUGAUGCAGCCAUGCCGCGUGUGUGAAGAAGGCUUUCGGGUUGUAAAGCACUUUCAACGAGGAGGAAAGGGUGCAGAUUAAUACUCUGUAUCUGUGACGUUACUCGCAGAAGAAGCACCGGCUAACUCCGUG